rnacentral:rRNA from 1 species
GCGCCAGUAGGUUGGUCGUGCCACCGGUACGUACUGGUCUCACUGAUUCCUCCUUCCUGAAGAACCGUAAUGCCAUUAAUUUGGUGUUGCGGGGAAACAGGACUGUUACUUUGAAAAAAUUAGAGUGUUUAAAGCAAGCUAACGCUUGAAUACAUUAGCAUGGAAUAAUGAAAUAGGACGAUCGAUCAUAUUUUGUUGGUUUCUAGGAUUGACGUA